rnacentral:rRNA from 1 species
AUUGAACGCUGGCGGCAGGCCUAACACAUGCAAGUCGAACGAAUGGCGGACGGGUGAGUAAUGUCCGGGAAACUUCCCGAUGGAGGGGGAUAACUACCUGAAACGGUAGCUAAUACCGCAUCCCAUCGGAUGUGCCCAGAUGGGAUUCGCGUGUAGGUUGGGUAACGGCUCACCUAGGCGACGAUCCCUAGCUGGUCUGAGAGGAUGACCAGCAACACUGGAACUGAGACACGGUCCAGACUCCUACGGGAGGCAGCAGUGGGGAAUAUUGAACAAUGGGCGCAAGCCUGAUGCAGCCAUGCCGCGUGGAUGAAGAAGGCCUUCGGGUUGUAAAGUACUUUCAGCGAGGAGGCGUUACUCGCAGAAGAAGCACCGGCUAACUCCGUGCCAGCAGCCGCGGUAAUUC